GGACUUUAUGAUGUAACCAUUAAAGGUUUGAAUAAAAAUGAAGCAGAGAAUGAUAAAUAUGUCGAUAUAGCAGACCUUAAAUAUAAGAAAAUAGCCAAGAAACAUUUCGUACUUAAUGGAACGGUUGUGAUUAAAGAUGAUAUACCAAAGGAUGUGAAGGUGUUUAUAUUAACCGCAAGAAAAAUAGGGGGAACGUAUGUGGAUCAGCCAGCAGCGUCUUUAAACAAUUUAGAUGCUUGUACAGAGUUUUAUAAAGAUAAAAUAGCAGUGCCGCACUUUCUAAAUCAUUCGGAUUUUCCCUACAUAUGUCCAUUUCCCAAGGGAACAUUUCAUGUUUUCAAUCUGAGUGCCUCUCCAGAAAAUUUACCAAAGUUACUUCCCUAUGGCGAGUGGAAGGUAAUAGUUCAAUGGAAAGUGGUAGGUAGAAUAAUAUUUAAUGCUAUAGGAUAUU